rnacentral:rRNA from 1 species
UUCAUGGAGAGUUUGAUCCUGGCUCAGGACGAACGCUGGCGGCGUGCCUAAUACAUGCAAGUCGAGCGGACCGACGGGAGCUUGCUCCCUUAGGUCAGCGGCGGACGGGUGAGUAACACGUGGGUAACCUGCCUGUAAGACUGGGAUAACUCCGGGAAACCGGGGCUAAUACCGGAUGCUUGAUUGAACCGCAUGGUUCAAUCAUAAAAGGUGGCUUUUAGCUACCACUUACAGAUGGACCCGCGGCGCAUUAGCUAGUUGGUGAGGUAACGGCUCACCAAGGCGACGAUGCGUAGCCGACCUGAGAGGGUGAUCGGCCACACUGGGACUGAGACACGGCCCAGACUCCUACGGGAGGCAGCAGUAGGGAAUCUUCCGCAAUGGACGAAAGUCUGACGGAGCAACGCCGCGUGAGUGAUGAAGGUUUUCGGAUCGUAAAACUCUGUUGUUAGGGAAGAACAAGUACCGUUCGAAUAGGGCGGCA